rnacentral:rRNA from 1 species
AGUGACAAGAAAUAACAAUACAAGGCAGUUAAAAUGCUUUGUAAUUGGAAUGAUAGAAAUUUAAACACUUUUUAAAGUAUCAAUUGGAGGGCAAGUCUGGUGCCAGCAGCCGCGGUAAUUCCAGCUCCAAUAGCGUAUAUUAAAAUUGUUGCAGUUAAAAAGCUCGUAGUUGAAUUUAUGUUAAAAAUAACCGAUCUGCUUUUAAUAAAGUAGUAUCAUGGUUUGUUUUUAAUAAUAAUGUUCUUUGAUAUGUUUUUUACUUAAUUGUAAAAAGCAAUAUUUAGAAUUUUUACUUUGAGAAAAUUAGAGUGUUUCAAGCAGGCUAACGUUUUGAAUACUGCAGCAUGGAAUAAUAAAAUAGAAUUUUAGUUCUAUAUUAUUGGUUUUAAGAACUAAAUUAAUGAUUGAUAGGGACAGUUGGGGGCAUUUGUAUUUAACUGUCAGAGGUGAAAUUCUUAGAUUUGUUAAAGACAAACUACUGCGAAAGCAUUUGUCAAAGAUGUUUUCAUUAAUCAAGAACGAAAGUUAGGGGAUCGAAGA